GACGAACGCUGGCGGCGUGCUUAACACAUGCAAGUCGAACGGAAAGGCCCUGCUUUUGUGGGGUGCUCGAGUGGCGAACGGGUGAGUAACACGUGAGUAACCUGCCCUUGACUUUGGGAUAACUUCAGGAAACUGGGGCUAAUACCGGAUAGGAGCUCCUGCUGCAUGGUGGGGGUUGGAAAGUUUCGGCGGUUGGGGAUGGACUCGCGGCUUAUCAGCUUGUUGGUGGGGUAGUGGAUUACCAAGGCUUUGACGGGUAGCAGGCCUGGGAGGGUGACAGGCGACAUUGGGACUGAGAUACGGCCCAGACUCGUACGGGAGGCAGUAGUGGGGAAUAUUGCACAAUGGGCGGAAGCCUGAUGCAGCAACGCCGCGUGCGGGAUGACGGCCCUCGGGUUGUAAACCGCUUUCGCCUGUGACGAAGCGUGAGUGACGGUAAUGGGUAAAGAAGCACCGGCUAACUACGUG
rnacentral:rRNA from 1 species